AUGGAUCAACUAUACAACUUACUGUACAUAGUGAGAUACAUACCACUGAUUCUCACUCUAGUUACAGGCAGUUUUGCUGAUAAAAUUUGGCCGAAGGACAAAGAUAUCAACGUUGUGGGGAAGGAAACAGACCCUGUUACUCUGAGAUGUUCAUAUGAAUCAAGCAGUGAUAGCAUUCGGCUUUACUGGUGCAGACAAUACCCUAACAGUGCACCACAGUUUUUACUGUAUAAAGGUGCAAAGUCAGCAAGUUCAGCUCAGCGCAACCCCUCUGGCUCUCGAUUCAAUACAGAAACAUCCCCAGACUCUACUGAACUCACUAUCAAACAUCUGCAGAUCUCAGAUUCUGCACUCUAUCACUGUGCUCUU